GGUCAUGUGACGCAGACGGUUCACCUCACAAUACCGGGGUCAACCACGGCUACCAGCAUGAACGACGGCGCUUCACAACACCGUCUGAACUGACCAUUCUGGUGAAAUUCUGGACUGGAUGGGAGACUCUACCAAGAACUCUCUUCGCUGAAGUAGUGAAUGGCAGAUACCUGACAGCCUCCACCUGCUGACCUUUGUAGCGAGGACCCGAUGCCAGGUCCAGUGGACAGACUUCAGACGUCUCUGUGUGUCCCGUCCUGUCUGUGGUUGCCUGGUUACAGACGCUGCUGCACCCGCAUGUUUAAAGAUGUCUACACCUGAAACUCCACCACGUCUAAAGAAGCAAAAACGUUUGCAAAUGUACAGACUGGAGUGGGAAGAGUGGAACUCCUGGCAAUGGAUACAAGGCAAACUGUGUUUUCUGUUGCUCAUGGACUGGCUGAAGUAAGGCAGCAUCAGGAGACAAACAUGGAGGAAAUAUGAGAACAGAGAGAACCCAACCAGCAGGUCACAGUUUAUCAUCAUCUAAUCAUCUCCUGAAGUCCAUAUGGUAAGUGGACAUCAUGAUGAGAUCAGCUAGAUUUCCUACAGUAUAUGGCUGUGAAUUUACCAGAGGAUGCUUAUAAUAAUGCUGAUGUGGCCGUAGACUCUACACUAUUUUAGUGACUCAGUAAAUGCCUAAGUUGGUUAUUAUUUUUUUUAAUGCUUUUUAGUUUUUAAUAAACAUUUAUUUAAUAGCCUAUAUGUAAUCAAACAUGGCCUUUGCCUAAAAAGAAUAAUAUUUCAUUGCACAAG